GAUGAACGCUGGCGGCGUGCCUAAUACAUGCAAGUCGAGCGAACAGAUAAGGAGCUUGCUCCUUUGACGUUAGCGGCGGACGGGUGAGUUACACGUGGAUAACCUACCUAUAAGACUGGGAUAACUUCGGGAAACCGGAGCUAAUACCGGAUAACAUUUUGAACCGCAUGGUUCAAUAGUGAAAGGCGGCUUUGCUGUCACUUAUAGAUGGAUCCGCGCUGCAUUAGCUAGUUGGUAAGGUAACGGCUUACCAAGGCAACGAUACGUAGCCGACCUGAGAGGGUGAUCGGCCACACUGGAACUGAGACACGGUCCAGACUCCUACGGGAGGCAGCAGUAGGGAAUCUUCCGCAAUGGGCGAAAGCCUGACGGAGCAACGCCGCGUGAGUGAUGAAGGUCUUCGGAUCGUAAAACUCUGUUAUCAGGGAAGAACAAAUGUGUAAGUAACUGUGCACAUCUUGACGGUACCUGAUCAGAAAGCCACGGCUAACUACGUG
rnacentral:rRNA from 1 species